UUGAACGCUGGCGGCAGGCCUAACACAUGCAAGUCGAACGGUAACAGGAAGAAGCUUGCUUCUUUGCUGACGAGUGGCGGACGGGUGAGUAAUGUCUGGGAAACUGCCUGAUGGAGGGGGAUAACUACUGGAAACGGUAGCUAAUACCGCAUAACGUCGCAAGACCAAAGAGGGGGACCUUCGGGCCUCUUGCCAUCGGAUGUGCCCAGAUGGGAUUAGCUAGUAGGUGGGGUAACGGCUCACCUAGGCGACGAUCCCUAGCUGGUCUGAGAGGAUGACCAGCCACACUGGAACUGAGACACGGUCCAGACUCCUACGGGAGGCAGCAGUGGGGAAUAUUGCACAAUGGGCGCAAGCCUGAUGCAGCCAUGCCGCGUGUAUGAAGAAGGCCUUCGGGUUGUAAAGUACUUUCAGCGGGGAGGAAGGGAGUAAAGUUAAUACCUUUGCUCAUUGACGUUACCCGCAGAAGAAGCACCGGCUAACUCCGCG
rnacentral:rRNA from 1 species